CUUGUAACUGCAGAAGGAGGGUGACAGAGUUGAAUGAGAACGACAGCUUCAAGGAAACUGGGCCUAAUCCCCAUUUCUGUCCCAUGUUUACCCUGUGAGCUCUCUUCACCUGAAUAAUGAAGAAACUGAGAUUCAGCGGCACAUCUUGCGGACAACAGAAGCGUUUCUGAGAGAGCGUGCUAUGCCUCACUCAUUCAAAGAGCCAGUAAGAAACGUCUAAAGAAGAGAAGGUGAGACAAUGACAAUGCUAUUCUCAAAGUAAUGACUUCUAAACUUUAAUCUCUGGAACUCUGACCCUGUUCAUCCAAAUUGCCAACCCACACCAUAAACUUCCUACCAAUUGUUUGCAUGUACUGAGAAGAAUGCAGUUCCCCUCCUGAAAUCUCUACCUACCAUUAAUAAAAAGUUUUCAAAAUAUUCAGAACAGAAUAUAGCAUU